UGAGACACAGGUGCAGCUAAUUGACUGGGCCUGUGGUUAGUGAGACGCUGGAGAACACGGCCAGGACUGCAGAAGGACUGUGGUGUAAUUUCACCCAAGUAGAUAAACACACUCGGAUGUGAUUCACUCAACCAUACAGCACAAAGUCCCAGGCUGCUGUAACUACCAUUGACUCAUCUGAAUUUCCUAAAGAUCAUCAGGAGAAGAAUGUUACAUCCGUACUGUUCCUGUGUGGUACCUGGAUUAACAACCAUGCUGUAGAUAGCGCAUGUUAUCCAACCAGGAUAGCACCAUAAGGUUCCUCACUCCAGUGGUUCUGAUCCAUGUUUUGUCCUGUUGCAACUCCCCAAACAUUUUACAACUACAUGCCUCUGCACUCGGCCUAAAUCGUACUACAGCUACCUGCUUUUCUACACUGAGCAGAUGGAGUUGGUCUGAAAGCUCUGGGUGUGUAAUCCGCUACUGCUGUAACGGUUUUAUUGUAUCGCACUUGAUGGAGAUAAAAUAUGCAGAAGAACAUGUUAAAUACACACACAAAAAAAAACACAAGCUAUGAUCUGAUAUCUGUUUUGUGAUUUAAAAAAUAUAUCAAAGGAGCUUGUUUGCCUCAGUACUAAUUGCUCCUGUCCUGGUCAUGGUCACAGAUCUUAUCCUGGGAAUAUAAUAUAUUAUUUCUAAAACUUGUGGUUUUUACUUAAUCCUGACCUAUAUUUAUAGCUUAGCUCAAUGUCACUGAGUUCUUUCUGAAUAA